UAAUUUCCUUCUCUAAUUUUUUCUUUGCAAUAAUCUAAGGUCAAGAGAUCAUAUUCUUGCGAAAUAUUCAUAAUACAUGAGUAUUAACUUUACUCAUCAUUUCAACGAGGAUCUAAUAGAUUAAUCGACAUAAAUACAGAUUAAAUGUUAUGAUGCUUCAUCGUAUAAAUAGGCUAAAAUGGAUACCUAUUUAAUUUUUUUAAUUUAAAUUGCCUGAAUCUUGUUCUCAUUUUAAUUUUUAAAAUAGUUAUCCUCAUGGUUAAAGAAGGUGAUAAGUAGAUACAAUGAAGUUGAAUGAAGAAGUUGUAAACUUCAAUGUGUAUAAUUUUGGGAACUCUUAUUGAAAAUGUUUCAAAAAUGCAUUCAUUUGCAUCCUCCAUAUUAUUAUGUUCAACAUUGUGCUGUGUCCAUAUCUACAUAACGAAGGCAUGUCCAGAAAGUAAUUCAGAUCACAACAAAAAAUAUCAAGCUAUUCUUUUCGAUCUAACCAGAAGUGAAAGCGGUUCAGCAUGUCCAGCUACCACCCAACAAGAGAAAAUAAUUAACGAUGACUUCUCAAUCACUGGUAGAAGUAUAUUUUUGCAAACUGUUUAUGAACAUUAUGAAGUGAAAGGAAAUAUCUCAUUAGAUAUCUGUGAGAAGCCUCCUCAACCUACAAUGGUUUAUAAUUCCAUAGAGGAUGCUUAUGAGAUUGGUUACGAGGUUGGUUUAGUUAUGGAUAAUUUUACUAUGAAGAAGGCAAGAUUCAGUUGCUGGAAGACAACAAAUAUUAUUCUUAUAAAUCAGUGAGCAUGAAACAUCUACGGUACUAGCUUAAUGGUGUAAUAUAUGAAUCCAUAUUUAAUUUUUUCAAUAAAUUUACAUCUGAAAAGUUUGUUUGUUAAAAUUG